rnacentral:misc_RNA from 1 species
GAUGAAGAACGUAGCGAAAUGCGAUAAGUAAUGUGAAUUGCAGAAUUCAGUGAAUCAUCGAAUGUUUGAACGCACAUUGCGCCCCCUGGUAUUCCGGGGGGCAUGCCUGUUCGAGCGUCAUUACAACCCUCAAGCUCUGCUUGGUGUUGGGCCCCGCCGCCCCGGCGGGCCCUAAAAUCAGUGGCGGUGCCGUCCGGCUCCGAGCGUAGUAAUUCUUCUCGCUCUGGAGGUCCGGGUGUGUGCUCGCCAGCAACCCCCAAUUUUUUUCAGGUUGACCUCGGAUCAGGUAGGGAUACCCGCUGAACUUAAGCAUAUCAAUAAGCGGAGGA